rnacentral:rRNA from 1 species
AAACAGACSAAUUAASGCAUAACGAACGAGACUCCGGCAUGCUAACUAGUUAUGCGGCCCCGAGCGGUCGGUGUCCAACUUCUUAGAGGGACAAGUGGCGUUCAGCCACACGAGAUUGAGCAACAGGUCUGUG